rnacentral:rRNA from 1 species
AUACGGAGGGUGCAAGCGUUAUUCGGAAUCACUGGGCGUAAAGGGUGCGUAGGCGGAUAAUCAAGUCAAAAGUGAAAUCCCACGGCUUAACCGUGGAACUGCUUUCGAAACUGGUUAUCUAGAAUAUGGAAGAGGCAGAUGGAAUUAGUGGUGUAGGGGUAAAAUCCGUAGAGAUCACUAGGAAUACCGAUUGCGAAGGCGAUCUGCUGGGACAUUAUUGACGCUAAGGCAUGAAAGCGUGGGGAGCAAACAGGAUUAGAAACCCUAGUAGUCC